AUCAAAUAAUGUUACCGUACAUUGUCAUGAUUUUACUUUAUUUUUAGAUGGACAUGGAGAUGGACAUUUUUCCUGGGACUACCUCCUUGAUGGUAUGCCCCAAAAAGGACAGUUCCACAUAAAAAGACCUGCAGUUGACCAAGAUCCGCUUGACGUACAUCUAUAACACUAACACACUUAUUAGAACCAUGUUAUAUAUAAUCAUUAUUAAAUACACGGUAUUUGGUACGGUUUCGAUUGGAAUUGGUUCAAAAAUAUAUAUAGGCAAUGGGAAAGCAGACAUUAGAAAAUGCGUGAUAUGGUGUAGGCGUUAUUUCGAGAAAUAAUGAGAACAAAAGUUUCUUUACGCUUAUGACGUGGUGAAAGUGGUCCGUGACAAUUUAUCUAUAAGUAUUGACUCUUAUAAUGUAAAUAUUCAUCACAGCCAAAUAUAUUUUCUGCAAAUGUGUUUGUUAGAUAUUAUAUAAUUAUAUAUAUUCAUAUAUAUUCUUAUAUGUAUGUGUGGGAUAGUAUAUGGAUUUUCCGGAAAACCCUCGUAUAUCGUGUGGUAAAAAAGAAAGAUUACAAUGCCAACAUUUGGUCAAAAUGGCUUAGAAAUAACAUGAUAUCGAAGAUUAUGUUUUCAUUAGAAAUGAUUCAUGUUGUCAUGAACAUUAAAUAUGUUCGAAAGAUAAUGUCAUCUAGUAAAAAAUCUAAUCGUUUGAAUUUAGAAAAAUACGAGUGUAAUUAUAUGCUUUUUAUACCCUUCAAUAUUACUGUAAUCUGAUGUUAUAAUAUUUAUUUAUCCUAAUAAGAACAUUAAUCUGACGAUAUUUAAUGUAUAAAUCAUAUUUUCAUAGGUCUUGUUUCAUGUACGUAAUUCACCUAUUAAUCAAGAAAUUAAUUCGUCAUAAAAAUGAGCAGAAACUGAACAUUACCCCAAUCUGAAAUUUAUUGCCUUACCUUCAUACAAUAUUCUAAUCAUAACAGUUUUUACACAAUGUUUCAAGCAGAUGAAUAACAAAAACUUGUUAUCAUAAUAGGUUUUUACUGGAAUAUCAGUAGUCUCAGCAGUGGGGUUAGAUAAAUAAAACAAUGAAUUGUGACUAAAGCUGGUGGUCUUAAAUGUGGAUAAGUGGGGUAGUCUUAAUUGUGGAUCAUGUAACCAUUAACAUUACAAACAGAAAAUUCUGUUCUUUUAAAAAAUGGGACUAAUUAGAGGGUUGGUCUUAAUUCUGGUGUGGUCUUAAGUAGGGAUUCUACUGUAGCGUAUUCUGCAAUUUCAGAUGAACGCAGUAGAAUCGUCUUGAGUGCGCAAUGAUCGCCGUGACAGUGCCGUAGAGUCGCAGAAAAAGAAAGCGCCGUACACACGCAGUAUAAACGCUAUAGAGACGCCGUACAAUCUCCGUACAAGCGCCGUGGCUAAUUACGGCGUUUAUUCGGCGAUCCUUCAGCGCUUUCACGGCGCUCUUGUUGCGUUGUAAGAGAUGUUACUGAGUUGCUACGGCGUCCUUACUACGAUCCCACAGCGCUCUUUUCAGAACGCCGAGUGAAUGCGUUUGUUUUGAGCAUUCUCAAAAUGCGCGCCAUCGGUCGGCGUUCUAUGCGAUGACACUGCGAUGCUAUAGCGAUUCUGCGGCGAUGUUUGCGAUCCUACUGCGCUCACCCUGGCGUUCUGAAUUUUCUUUGGACGCUGUGAGAACGCCGCCCUAGUGUGACAGGGGUUUAACUUAAAGAGAAACACGGUUCAUUAUACAAUUUGCUAUUGUAUUCAACACUUUUUUGUACCAUAGAUACUUAAAUGCUUACUGAACAUGGAUUCAAUUCGUUAGUGUUAAAAUUAAAGACAGAAGAGUUAUUAUUGCCUCUGCACUAAUACUAACCAUUUGUAUAUAUGGGAUGUGUAUUGUUUUUUGCUGUUGUUUUUUUACAUCAUUUCUUGCUAUAAACAAUUGUGCAUUGCCAUUGUCGUUUUACUUUACUUUAAAUAAAAACUACCGAAUAUGUAAAAAAAAAUUAUCACACUCUGUAUGCAAAAAUAAAAAUAAUUGUUAACUAUGACCUUCUAUGGAAAUUUACAAUCAUUUACAUGUGUAAUGUAUGUCAUGUAUUAUAGUUUGCAUAUAUAAAAAGUAACAGCUAUUAUGUCUGUAACUUAUUGAAUUUAUUGUUAAUAUCGAUGUGAAUAAUUAUGCCAUACUUUUGUCAUGUAUGUUAAUCUUUUCACUGUAACAACGUAUUGGCGAACUUGUAUAUAUGUUUGUGCAAAAUAAAUCACGGGAAUAUAGUUUUAAUAAAAAA